UACGUAGGGGGGCAAGCGUUGUCCGGAUUUAUUGGGCGUAAAGAGCGUGUAGGCGGUCAGGUAGGUCCGUUGUGAAAACUCGAGGCUCAACCUCGAGACGCCGAUGGAAACCAUCUGGCUAGAGUCCGGAAGAGGAGAGUGGAAUUCCUGGUGUAGCGGUGAAAUGCGCAGAUAUCAGGAAGAACACCCGUGGCUAAGGCGGCUCUCUAGUACGGUACUGACGCUGAGACGCGAAAGCGUGGGGAGCGAACAGG
rnacentral:rRNA from 1 species